GACGAACGCUGGCGGCGUGCUUAACACAUGCAAGUCGAACGGAAAGGCCCUGCUUGCCGGGUACUCGAGUGGCGAACGGGUGAGUAACACGUGGGUGAUCUGCCCUGCACUUCGGGAUAAGCUUGGGAAACUGGGUCUAAUACCGGAUAGGAGCCAUCUUUAGUGUGGUGGUUGGAAAGUUUUUUCGGUGUAGGAUGAGCUCGCGGCCUAUCAGCUUGUUGGUGGGGUAAUGGCCUACCAAGGCGGCGACGGGUAGCUGGCCUGAGAGGGUGUACGGCCACAUUGGGACUGAGAUACGGCCCAGACUCCUACGGGAGGCAGCAGUGGGGAAUAUUGCACAAUGGGCGCAAGCCUGAUGCAGCGACGCCGCGUGGGGGAUGAAGGCCUUCGGGUUGUAAACUCCUUUCGCUAGGGACGAAGCUUUGUUGUGACGGUACCUAGAGAAGAAGCACCGGCUAACUACGUG
rnacentral:rRNA from 1 species